rnacentral:lncRNA from 1 species
UUUGGUUUCCAACAAUUAAUGUAAUUUUUAUUUAUUAUCAAUUUUUAGAGAAAUAAGGUCGCCUUUAAGGAUCAUAACUGUCAAAAAUGGUUAAAAUGUCAAACUAUCUAUAAUAGUAUAUGAUAAAGCUAUGCACAAACUUUCAGCUCAAUAUCUCCAAGCAUUGUCAAACACCAUCUGGAAAAGUAUUAGUGGGACAGACCGACAGAAGGACGGAGAUGAAACCGUUUGGACCGGUAAGGGACUAAUAACCACUGAUAAUACCUCAACAGUUUAUUAACUGUAGUUUUUGUCUUUGCAACAGUAAAUGAUUUAAUACGUUGAUGCAAAACUGCAGAUUUACGUACUAAUUUUUAUUCCAGGUAUUCAAUAAUGAGCAGCUGUUGUUGAUGAGGAAGCAGUGAAAUGUGAGGACCGUUCAAUACACUAAAUGAAGAAAAUCCAGUCAAAAGUGACGAGACAUUUUUAACAAUGUUAUUAACACUAAGAAUGUGCAUUUCUUCUCCAGUUGUUUUUGAGACCACCCUUGAUCUCAUCUUAAUUGCUUACUGGAUACGAGUGUCGAGCCAGUAAAGCCGAGCUAAUGCAUUUUGCAUUGAUUUCACAAAUCAAUACAUUCAUUUCCCUUGUUAUUUCCAGUGUCGUUGGGGUGAAGAGCAGAUGGUUGGUCGAGGAAUCAAUUAGAAAGCCAACAUAAUGCGUACAUUGUGAUAAUGGUCAUGUUGUCCCGAAGACAAUUGAAUUCAUCAACACUGCUAAUGCAUAUGUGUGCUACAAGUGAAAAGCCUUGUUCCGUGUGUUGUGUGUGUGGCAUUUUUAUGUAGAUAUUUGUCAAAUCCAAACUGAUAAUAUUCCCGGUGGUUGGUGUGCAUGACAAACACAUCGAAGAUAAAAGGAAAAUGCUGUUAAUUGACAUGAAUUAUUGCCUUCAGUAUACGUUUUCUUUCAACUCACAUCGGUAAACAAAUGUACUUCAUACUGGGGCCAGUCUUCCACAGCCCCACCACAGAACAGUUGGACAUAACGAAAAUUCAACAAAGAUCUUUUCAUGAAAAUUGGUGGCUAUAUAGCCAUGUGGAUCAAAAUAUUAUCAGAGCUAUUAUCUAACCAAAGAAGCCAGUUAAAAAAUAUUGAGGUACAGUAAUGUACGGUCUUUUACAGACUAUGGCUAUUUUUAAACUAAAAGGGACACAUUUACCAGGCCACUUGACCCUUGCCUGCAUCUUCUUGUCUUCCACUUUAAAAGGUAUAUUGAAAAAAACCUGUUCAAAUUCACAAAGUACAAUUAGUACAAUGUAGUCAUUUUAUAUCCAUGCUGCAAUACUGGGGCAAUUAGAAAUUCUCACAUUUUGGAUAUAUAGAUCCUUUUUUUUCCUCUCUCAAAGAUUACCAUCCACAUUUCUUGAUGUCUAUAAAAACACAAUGUAUUUAUAACAUGAUCUUUAAUGCAGUUGAUUUGGAUGGAUUCUCCUCCGUAGAUCAAAUGUUUUCCCCAGAGAUCGACAACUUGGCAUGUUCAGGUGACCGUUUUGUGCCUAAUAUUUGAUGAAUAUGAUAUAAAAUGGUGGUAUCGUCCGUUAUUCUGAACUUGCUACUGGUAUACUGUGUGCCCGUCGGUUUAAAAGUGUAUGUAACUAUUCAACUGCAGCCUAUGUAGCAUCGUUUUCUCCUCUAGACCAUUACCUUCAGUCUCGAGUAUGGUCGGGUGAGGUUAAAUAGACAGUCUCCUCUAGACCAUUACCUUCAGUCUCGAGUAUGGUCGGGUGAGGUUAAAUAGACAGUCUCCUCUAGACCAUUACCUUCAGUCUCGAGUAUGGUCGGGUGAGGUUAAAUAGACAGUUUUAUUCAGACACAUCAUAUUAGUUCCGAUAGCCCACAUAAUUUAACCAAUAUUUAAUAUAUACUCACAAAAGUAAUUAAGGGCCAGUAGAUAUUUUCAAAACAUUUCAUUAUGGUACAAAAUGCAUUUGUUUUUGGUUUUACAAAGCUGGCAUUUUCAUUCAGUGAUAAUAUUGGUCAAGAUUCACUCAAACUUGGAAAUCAUCUGUGAUCAAAACUUGCUAAAAUAUUAUACUGACCAAAAGCUUACCUAGUUACCUUAAGUUACUUUCAAAACUUGUGGUACACUGGUUAACAAUAUUAAUAUUAUACUAGUGUAUAAAGUAUUAAACAUGAAAAACUUGACAUUUGUUGAAUUGAAGAUUUUGCAGAACUAGUAAGAACUACAAUUAUCUUUGGGCACUCAUUAAAAUUUUAUAUACUAUUAUCGGUUUAACACCACCACUAUCAAUAUUUCCACUGGCUUUGUGCAAAGCACUCUAUACUCUGAAUUUAAGGUACAUAAUCUUCAUUUCAAUUAUCCAUUCAUGGUGUGAUCAAUACUGAGAUAACAUCAAUCCAGCUGAUGUAGGCCAUUGUAGUUCUGCUAUAAAUGACUAAAGAAUCAAUGCCUGAAGCCAUCAAUGUAAAAUGAAGCCCUUUGUUCUGGCUGCCUGCUGUUUACUACAGCAAUAACCUAUUCCAUGCAACACAUUAAUUCCCUGUGGACUGGGUAUUGAUCUACAACUUUCCACAGAAUUAACCAGUAGAGCAUAGCCAAAACAUAAUUGAAUUUUAACUAUUAAUAGGGUAGUCUUUUCAACUAGACUGCUGAUUAAGCACUUUUCUGUUCUUGUAAGUGUUUUUCAUCAAUGAACAUAGAAAUAGGUUUCUAAGUAUUCCAUCAUCAAUCAAUGAGUCAGACUACAAAUAAAUAGGCUACCCAUGUUUGAAAGUUACUUUGUAAUGAACAUUAAAUGACCUACAUACAUUGUACAUGCCUUUUGCUAUAUCAUAACAAAAUUAACUGAAGAAAAAAAUAAUGAAAAACUCAUUGCUUCGUGACAAAAUCUCAAUGAUUGCAUGAAAUUAUUUUUCCAGAUUAAAAUAUUGUUUUUAAAAAUUUGCUUUUGGCUAAUGGCAGAGCUAGUACAGUAAUAAAAAAUAAUGAUAGAUCGUUUGUGAUUGUCCAGUUGAUUUUACUCCAUACCAGUGCACACAAACACCCACUGUCUUUCAAAAUAUACAUCAGAUGUUUUCCUAUACUGUUCAGUGUGUUGUGUAUUUCAUGCACGCAACAUCAUUUCUGACAAAAGUGAAGUUGGGCGUAAUAUAUUUUCAUAUGAGUGGUACACAUCAUCAUUUUAUAACAAGUCCAGCUUUCAGUUGUAAGUUUCCAUGCAUUGAGGACCAUAAUAAUAAUUAAUUAACAAUAAUAUAAUAAAACAAUGUAAAAAUGCAUGUCACAUUUCAGCACGAGAAAUCACAUUAAUGGAAAGGGGCCAAGUCCUAUGCAACAUCACUUCAUAUAUAACUAAAUUAGUGGUUUCUUUUUCUUUCUCAUUUACAAAUAAAUAUCUAUUUUCAUUUAGUAAUGAUAACACAACAAAUUAUCAGGGGAAAUAAUCUUUUUAUUAAGAAUGAUAGGACAAUACUAAAAUUUCCUAGCUGUUAUGCGUAACACUUCACUUUUUUCGCCAAUGAUUAAGUGGAGCAAUGUACAGUUUGCUCCAUCAGAUUUCUUUUUUUUUUUUAGAAAAAUAAUCUG